rnacentral:lncRNA from 1 species
AUGGUUCCUUUGGACCAAUUUGUUUAUAAUUUUAUGGCUGUGUAGUGCUCCAAAAUGGGUUUUUGAAGCCCUAAUAGAGUAAGGGAAAGAGAAUCCAGCUUUUCGGUGAGUGCAUCGUAGCUUGAACAUUGUCUUUAUCAACAUCAUGUUGCAUUCAUUUGCUUAGUGGUAUAAUAAUUAUACCAAGUCAAGUUUUGAGAUUCACCAUCUAGUCCUUAGUUUACUUGGGCAUCCCCCAAAUGGGUUAUUCUCAUGAGAAAUUUGGGGGUUUGGUUGUUUUGUUUUGUUUCACAUUGAAUUUAGUUUCUUUGAUUUUAGAGUGCUUCCCUUACCUGUGAUUCUGAAUUCUGUUCUCGUACCACAGAGUGUUCAUUGCCCAUCCUAGCUUGGAGCUGUCCAUAGGUUUAGAAAUACAUUUUAUAUUUCAACACUGAAGCCUUUGGCAAAACUAAGAACAGAAGCAGGGUUCUAUUUGAAAUGGCUUUCCUUAUUAAGGCAGCUUAGGUGACAUUGCGUGUCCUGGAAUAGGCUGCCCCGGGACAAGCAGAGGGAAUUUUGGUGCAAGGUUGGAAAAUGUUGAUUUGUCCCUCAGUAAAGCUGGACCAAUGAUCAACUCGACUGGUGACUGGUGAUAUUACCUCUCUCUUAUCCCUUUUUGCCCAUGUAGGUGGAGAGUAAAUCAUUGUUUAUUGGCAUUUGACAUUCUGAAGAGCAGUGAAAAUGGUCAGCAUAAGCUACACCAGUGAGGGAGUUUCACAAAGAUGAGUGAGCAGCGUUACUGCCAGAGCAAUGCCCUGUGCCAACACCAAACAGGCCUUGCCAAUGGCAGGACUUGGCACUUCACACCUGAAGUCCUUUUUUCUGGCAUAUGCUGAUGCUGCUGGUGAAUCACACAGCGAUUCACAGAGCGGAUUUUCCCCCAUCAGAUAAAAUUUUGAACUGUUGAUUUAUGCACACACCCCUCUCUGGGAAGGUGAUGUCUCUAUCCUGCUGCCAACCAGUGCCUUCUAUGGUGAGUAUUAACAGUUUCUUGUUUGUGUCUUGAUGUGGAGGGGAAGAAGCAGGGAGACAGGAGAGUGAGAGCUCAGAGGAUGCAGGGAUGGGAUCCCAGGCUAGGGAGGCAAAGAGUAGGAGAAGACACACACUAUAAAUCUGGAGCCUAAGUUUAGGGUGCACAGUGGAAAGAAAGGCUGUGAUGCUGAGGUGCCCUGCUUGGGAAGGGAAUGAUGAAAUCUUUCUGUGUAACCCAACUAACCCAAAAGCCACUUUUAACACUUGAUCUACAUUGCAAACACAGAAAAAUGUUAC